GCGCUGGGGAACAUGUCAGUGGUGUCGUGGAUCGUGCAGAGGAACCAGUCCACAGUGUUUGGGCAGGACAAGGAGGGACGCACGCCCUUGUUCUACGCCGCGGUAGCCAAGGACGGGGGGAGGGCUUUAGUAUGCUGCUUAGGAACGGCGCGGACCCUCAGCAUGUGGACAAGUACCGCAAGACAGCUGAGCACUACCGCUUCAAACCCAGUGACCUUGACCUCUCUGUGAUCCGUGAGUCCCCGAGUGCCCCCAGGUCAGGCGGUCCCACCCUGGACAUCCCCAUGGGCGCCUCGAGAGGUCCCUCCAACCAAAACUCCAGGGCGCCUUCCAGGAAUACCUACAGGUCAAGAAACCCAAGCCGCAGGAACUCUCUGGGUGACCUCAGGAAGACCAAAGGCAAGGAAGACGGCGUCAGAAUGCGUGACCUUCGGGAGGUGAGCAGCGAGGAGGUGGAUGCAAGUGUGCGGGACGGUGACCUCGGGUAUCUGGAAGACCUGGUGUUGUCUGGACGCGGGGACGAUCUGAAGGGAAGGGCGGCCUGGAAUGAGGACACACGCAGGUUCCUGAAGAGGGUGCCUGCCUAUAUGGAAAAGAUGAAAGCAGUCCACGAGGCAGCAGGGCGCGGCGACACCCACUCUCUUAAACGCCUGACGAAGGACAACCCACGCCUGGCUGUAUCCCGAGGGGUGGACGGCGCCCUUCCCCUACACAUGGCCGCUGCCGCCUCGAGCACCCCGGCCUGCAAGCACCUGCUGAACCUGUACCCUGCUGGCCUACACGUUAAGGACCAGAACGGGAAGACGCCCCUGCACUACGCCGGGUUGUCCACACAGCCAGGAGCGAGAGGGACCUACGAGCUGCUGGUGCGGGAGGGUGCCAGCGGGGGAAUACAGGACAUGAGCGGCAGCACCCCAGACGACUACCGGGAGACAGUUCGGGAGGCCGCUAAAAGGGCACCAUCCAGGGGGCGGAUAUCCCGAGGCGGCGCUGCAUCGAGAGGGGGCGCUGCGUCGAGAGGGGGCGGGGCGAUAUCCAAAGGUCCUUCUCGAUCAAAUUCCCAGGAGUCGGAGCACGUACCUUCAGGAGACGAGGGAGGGAAGGAGGAGGAGGAAGAGGGGGAGAAGGACGAGGAGGUGGAGAGGGCGAUCGCUGCUGCAGAAGGGGAUGAUGACUACAGCCUCCUGACGGCGAUGAUCGUGGAGGGCAAGGGGGAGAGGUUACUAGGGCGCACCUCCAACAACGCUGGUGUGAAUGAGUUCCUGACGCAGAUACCUGGCCAGCUGGAGGGGCUGAAGGAGCUCCACGCGGCGGCAGAGCAAGGGGACACCAGGAAGGUCAUGGGGCUGCUGGAUUGUCGCAAGAAGGCUGCAUUCACGGACCACAACCACGUCACCAUCCUGCACAAGGCUGUCCUGCAUGACCACACAGACCUGGCGGAGGAGUUGGCCACAGAGUACCCAGAGCUGCUGCAGAUGAAGGACCUGAAGGGUCGCACUCCCCUCCACUACGCCGCCGUGGCAGGGAUGGAGCAGGGACCCCUCUACUUUGCCCUCAGAGAAGCGGGGGCUGACACUACGGUUCCUGACGCUGACGGCUACACACCUGAAGACUACCUGAGUGACCCAAGUAUACUGACAGAGGAUGACCUGAAGGAGCAACUGGCUAGAGGUCUUGCUGCUGACGAAGGCGAUGGAGGAGGAGGAGGAGAGGGACAUGAUGAUGGUGAAGCAAGAGAGAUGGAUGAUGAAUUAGGGGAGGGAGGAGGAGGAGGAGGAGGAGAAGAGAGCCAGGGGCGCCCCUACACAAUGGGAAGUGAAGCCGCCAUGAACCCUCCUGACCUGAACAACGAAGGCGAAACAAACUCAACCAAUCACAACUCAGAGGAACGUGAACUGACUGACCAGGAAGAGCAGGAGGAGCAGGAAGAGGUCAAGGGUGCACAGGAGGAGGGCCAGGAAAGUCAAGAGGGUCAAGAGAAGGAGGAGGAAGAGGAGGGUGACUUCAGAGGGGAGAGCAGAGGAGGGGAAAGCAGAGGGGAGAGCAGAGGAGGGGAAAGCAUGGUAUCUGAAAGGUCCGAGUUCCUGGGAAUGUGGACUGAUGAUGGAAAAUAUUUGGCGGAAGCCCUGGGGGACGCCCUAAUCAAGAGUCUGUCAGAUGUGAACGAAGCCCGCCCCAAGGACCCCAUCUCCUACCUGGCCUGCUGCCUCUACUCCUACAGGUACAACAACAACAUUGGCACCAGGACCCUCCCCGCUGACAAGAACGACAAGAAUGCAAGCCAGCAGGACGCGAUCAAGACUGGCACCUCGAAUUCCAUCGGGUCAGGCCACUCCAGCAUCGCCAUGAAGACCGCGGUGGAGAGCACUGGAGGGGGGGACAGCACGCACUCGCCGCAGAAGAGGGAUAGAAACGGCCAGAGCGUCCUACACUUCGCGGCAGGCAGACCCCACGGUAGGGAGGCCUUCUACCGCCUGCUGGAGGAGGCUGGGUGCUCACUAGCAGACAGGGACCACCAGUACCAGACGCCGCGGGAUGUGGCGAUGCAGGCGGGGCUGAUGGAGAACGUGGCGGCCAUUGAUAAGUGGGUGGUGAACUUGGUUGUGACCGGUGACGUGGCAGAGCUGCGUGAAUUGGUCCUGGGCGGGUAUGACCAGAUGUUCGAGGUGACUGACUCUGCAGGGCGUAAUUUGAUGGAGAUAGCCCACCUUUAUGGCCAGGAGAGGAUUGUGCACUUCCUGACGGAGGCCAUUAACUUCCUGGACAAGAGGGACUGGCUACACAAGGCCAUACGUGUGGGAUCCCUGCCUCACGUGGAGUACAUAGCGGACACAGAGGACGUGGCUAUAGCUAAGGAUACCAAGGGCAGGACCUCCCUCCACCUGGCAACCCUGUGUGAGGAGACGGAAAUCAUGCAGUUCUUGGCCUCCCAGUACCCGACGCUCCUCAUGCUGGGGGAUAACCUGGGACGCACGCCUCUGCACUACGCUAUGGCGGUGGAGGGCGUGGACCGCGUGGCCAAGGUGCUGGUGCAGGCGGGGGCACGACGGGCCAUGCGUGACCUGCGGGGAAGAACCCCCUCCUCUCUCUUCAUUCGCCCCAAGGAAGUGAGAGCAAUGAUGGAGGAGGUGCCCUUCCUACAACGAGCCCCAUCCUCCCCUCUUCGCCCCCUCCCUGAUAACCUCCCCAAUUCCACCCUUCGAAAAUCUGCUCUCUCACCCCUUUAUAUCCCUCCUCCCACUCCCCCUCUUGGUCUGUCCUCUGUCCUCUCCACUGUUCCUCCACACUGAGUACUUUAGUCUCUCUCUCUCUCUCUCUCUCUCUCUCUCUCUCUCUCUCUCUCUCUCUCUCUCUCUCUCUCUCUCUCUCUCUCUCUCAUACUACUACUACUACUACUACUACUACUGCUGCUGCUAUUACUACUACUUCUCCCUUCUGAAAAUACUAACUUUUCACCACUUAUCUGUCCUCCCUCAGCUAUCCAUGCCCCCUUCACCCCCCUCUCCUCCCUAACAACAGGCAGAUCAACAAAGCAACAGCACCAACGGUUAGAAGUUCACUUAUCAGCACACGUACACACACAGACACCAGCAUACAUACACAGGUACACAUGGUAGAGAGUCCCCACGUCUACAUAGGAGCAGGCGUGACUCUGUAGACUCUGUAGUUAGUACGGUAUGGCGCAUGCGCAGAUUUACAUGUAUAUACUGUUCCGUUAGCGUGCUUGUGUAGUUUAUACAUGCAAUACCCCCUUGGUUUGAAACACUGAGACACUUCAUGAAUCUUCUCCCAACACAUAUUUCACUAGAGGAACCUUGUGUAAUCUAUACAUGCAACACCCCCUUGGUUUGAAACACUGAGACACUUCAUGAAUCUUCUCUCAACACAUAUUUCACUAGAGGAACUUUGUGUAAUCUAUACAUGCAACACCCCCUUGGUUUGAAACACUGAGACACUUCAUGAAUCUUCUCCCAACACAUAUUUCACUAGAGGAACCUUGUGUAGUCUAUACAUGCAAUACCCCCUUGGUUUGAAACACUGAGACACUUCAUGAAUCUUCUCCCAACACAUAUUUCACUAGAGGAACCUUGUGUAAUCUAUACAUGCAACACCCCCUUGGUUUGAAACACUGAGACACUUCAUGAAUCUUCUCCCAACACAUAUUUCACUAGAGGAACCUUGUGUAAUCUAUACAUGCAACACCCCCUUGGUUUGAAACACUGAGACACUUCAUGAAUCUUCUCCCAACACAUAUUUCACUAGAGGAACCUUGUGUAGUCUAUACAUGCAAUACCCCCUUGGUUUGAAACACUGAGACACUUACUGAAUCGUUCUCUCGACAGACACAAUAUUCUGCCCGUGGAAUCUCGCGUAGGGUUCCUUGGUUUGAAACACUAAGACACUUAAUGAAUUCUUCUCUAGAGGCGCCCAAUAUUUCAUCAGUAGAACAUUACCAGUGAAGCCUUGACAACUUAUACAUGCAGUGCCCCUUUGGUCUGGAAUACGAAGAAACUAAAUCCCUCCAUCAACACACAAUAUUUUACCAGUAGAGCCAUGGCUAUCUAUCCAGCCGUUACGAGUACAGUACACGUUGCUGCCAGGUUGCUUGUAUGGUGCGUAGAGAAAAAAUUACGCAGCUGGUUAGUCUAUUUUAUGCAUCCUUUUUUCCCCAAUCUAUCUUUCCAUCUCCGUUUUUCUCCCAUGAAUGUUUCCCUUGACUAAUUUUUAAGAGUCCACAGCACUUGUUUGUUUAUGUCUAACUGUCUGCUGCUUCCACGUUUGACUGCCUGUUUGUCUAUCUGCCUGCCAAUCUGCCAACCAGCCUCACUGCUCGAUUGUUUAACUACUUUGUACAUCCACACAUCAUGUCCGCCUCCGUAUGUGUUCAUCUAGAUCUAUAAACACCUUCCUGUCGACCUGUCUAUCUGUUCGUGUGUCUGUCCAUAAGCAUCCCACAGCAGCAGUUAUAGUCCUGUCAGUGGCGCGAGAAGCUUCCCAGUUACUACUUCAUGAACCGGGACGAGAUCGUGGCCAUGAUUAAGGAAGUAACCGUGGAAGAUAUGGAAUAAAAAGGGAAGGAAGAGGAGAAAGAGCGAGAGAGAAAGAGAGAGAGACUGCAUACGUACUCUCCAUCUCUCAUCUUCGCCUGUAAAGAGAAGCACUAACGCCCUCUGGCCUCUAUUGCAAGAAACAGAGGCUCAAUGUCACAUCCUGAAGGGUUUAUAUAAAGCUGAGAGGCAUGUGAAUUUGGCCUCAGCAAGAUGGUUGAGAAAACAUGAUUCCAAGUUUCCGUAGCCAAAUACAAGAUGGCGCGUGGUGUACUGUUGCCAUACCUUUGUUUAACUGGACCAAGAAUGUUUACUCCUGUUACAAUGUUCGUAAGGUUGACUGUUGAUUGACUGAAGAUGUUUGGAAUAUUUUGGUUAACUUUGCAUGCCUUCCUUCCAUCCUUUCCCUUCUCCUUGUUUCGAAGUACGCAGACCACACACAUGUAAGACUCCCCUUCACACACAAGUGCACAUGUCCUAGAGUUGCACUGCGUGUCAGCCCAUUCAUACAAGUGUCUACAAACGCGACUUUCAUUGUGCCACCAUCUCUUCAAAACUAAACGAAUAAAGAAGCAAGUUAUAUUUGUCUACAUAGCAAGAGGCAACGAGAAGAAGGGAAAAUAGAAUAAGAGGUUGGUUCAUUCUGUAAUCAGCAGCAAACUUUCAUACGGUGCAUUUACCUCCACGUAUGAAGACUUGAAAAAGGUCAUACACCAAAGUCUUUAACUGUUUCUGGAAGUCUUAUGUUCCUUGUAUUCUUCAAUGGAAGGAUUCAAAUAUGCGUGUCUCUGCCUCUUUCUGUUGUGGUGGCCUGGCAUCGAGUCACUUUUUUCUGCAAUUAUUUCAUUUUAAUUAAGUCAUGUUAGGCUACGUAUGCAAAAUGUGUACAAUGAAAUGUGACAAUUACAUAAAAACUCGAAAGCAAUACAUACCGAAUGACUGGUUGUCAGCUGCUGCUCGUCUGAAGGAUGCGACACGAGCAGCCCGUAGUGUUGUGUGCACGACAGAAACUGGUGUCAGGAGUCCCGCUGUUACUGCUGCCGCUGAGGAUGUUCGCCAUUGGACGUCUUGUUAGCUUGAGUAUUCGCAUAACAUCAUGAAUGCUGGUGCUCGUAUGAACAGUCCCAUGUUUCCAGAAUGGAGCGACAUCAAACACACGGAAACAUUUGUGUGUGAGGAGUCUAAGUUUACUUGUGUACUUUGACCUUGUUUAUGUACCUGAUUACGCUACUCCGUGCAGGUUAAUUAGUCCUGACUCCUGAGAGGGUCGCACGAUGAGUCAUAACGUCCAUAGUUAAUAACACUUAAUAAUAAUGAUAGUAAUAUUAAUAAUAACAAUAAUAAUCACGUGUAAAUACUUAAUUCGGUGACCUCGGAUACCCCAGGACAAAACAGGACGUAAUACUGUAGUGUAUCCUCAAUGUAGCCAACGCUAGAGGCACAGCUGUGAUAUAUCGCUGGUAACACUGCACCCCUUCAAACCUUAAUAGCAGUAGACAGCUUCGCAUGUAGAAAUAUAAGGCGCAUUUACGUGUAGCUUUAGUUGCGGAUGAGUUCGUACGAAGAAAUCUGUCUAGUCGAUGUUAAGUGCCAAGAUUAGUACAAACAGCGGCACACACACACACACACACACACACACACACACACACACACACGCUUGUUAUCCUUAUACAUCCUAUCCUAAUUGAACAUCUUGGCACCAACGCUAAGAUAAAAUACGCGAGAGAAAUGCGCGGCCACAUCUACAUCAAUGAAUAUCAAGCAAGGCGGGAAUCCCAGUCAAUUUUUCCACGGCUCGGAUGAACAAAGUGCCAAAAUACACGAGCAGCGGAUAAAACAAUGAGUAAAUACAUGUUAUAAAUACUUAAAGACUAAAAUUCAACUCACCGUCCACACGGCAUUCCUUCACACGCAGCAGGUUUCUUUCAAGCCGUCUUGUUCACUGUUAUGCACUGCCCCCACCACCAUCUGUUAUUGUUCCAUACACACUCCACUGACUCCAUAGAGAACAGCGUUCAUACAGAAGAGUAAAAUAUUAGAAAACACCAGAAAUACGUAAUUUAUACACUUGAUAUCUAAAUACCCAAGAUCAACACGAACGCGCGGUCCUUCGUCCUCCCUCGGCUUACUUCAUAAAUGAACUGAUGGUUACCGUCCGUUAGUCCGAUUGUCCAUGCGCGGACCAAUCACAAUAUUGCCUUAAAACUGCCUUAUCUACUAUUUUUUUUUUUCUUAAUAAUUCGCCAUCAGUUACUCUUUAUAAAUAUAAAUUUCUGCUUAUGUUUUAUUGUUAUAAUAAACAUUUUCACAGGCACUUAUGAUGUUACCGUAACUUUUAAAGAUAGACAUCUUUCCUAACAGUGCAGUACAUUUUACUCUACAACAAUAUGUAUGCCAUAAUAUAUAUAUAUAUAUAUAUAUAUAUAUAUAUAUAUAUAUAUAUAUAUAUAUAUAUAUAUAUAUAUAUAUAUAUAUAUAUAUAUAUAUAUAUAUAUAUACAAACAAGGUAUCCCGCGAGUUAAGGUGCUUAUGCCGCCGCGCAACAUUAAGUGAUCAUUUUUCUUAUACAAUCUACGCAGUCAAAGCCUUAGCAAAUGACAGAUUAAAUUUUUGUAUGUGUCAGUGAAGAAAAUAUACAGGUAACAGCAAUACAGUGGUUGUUAAGUGCUACUUUUUAAACAUACUUGGCAACUCCCCAGUUUCAUGACUGCCCGGUGUUUGUCACUGUAAAUGUUCCUUUAUAUUAUAUCAUAUUAUAUUACAUUAUAUUAUAUUAUAUAUUUUUUUUUUCUCAGUGCCGUCAAAUUGUGCUGUUUCGUAAAUUUUGCCGAAGUAUGUACUUUAACUCGCGGGACAUCCUGCACAUAUACGUAAGGUACCACAUCUCAAAAGAUACAUGUAUAUAUAGUCUUCGUACGAAUUCUUUUGACAUAGCUAUUGUAAAUAAAGGAUUGAAAAAAAAAAAAAAGAA